GGACCAUGGCUCACUGGUAGAGCAUCUGUUUUGCAUGCAGAAGGUCUCAGGUUCAAUCCCUGGCAUCUCCA